rnacentral:rRNA from 1 species
GAUGAACGCUGGCGGCGUGCCUAAUACAUGCAAGUCGAGCGAACAGACGAGGAGCUUGCUCCUCUGACGUUAGCGGCGGACGGGUGAGUAACACGUGGAUAACCUACCUAUAAGACUGGGAUAACUUCGGGAAACCGGAGCUAAUACCGGAUAAUAUAUUGAACCGCAUGGUUCAAUAGUGAAAGACGGUUUUGCUGUCACUUAUAGAUGGAUCCGCGCCGCAUUAGCUAGUUGGUAAGGUAACGGCUUACCAAGGCGACGAUGCGUAGCCGACCUGGGAGGGUGAUCGGCCACACUGGAACUGAGACACGGUCCAGACUCCUGCGGGAGGCAGCAGUAGGGAAUCUUCCGCAAUGGGCGAAAGCCUGACGGAGCAACGCCGCGCGAGUGAUGAAGGUCUUCGGAUCGUAAAACUCUGUUACUAGGGAAGAACAAAUGUGUAAGUAACUAUGCACGUCUUGACGGUACCUAAUCAGAAAGCCACGGCUAACUACGUG